rnacentral:tRNA from 1 species
UUAAAAAUAAGCUAAAUAAAGCUUUUGGGCUUCAUACCUCAAAUAUAAAGAUUACUCUUUUUUUUAAA